CUAUUGCUCUUCUUUACCCUAGUUUAGUGGGUGUGGCUCUCCAUUCUCAAUUCUCAUCUAAGUAUUAUGGAGGAAGAAAAGGAUGCUUUCUACGUUGUACGGAAAGGGGAUAUUAUUGGGGUUUAUAACAACUUCUCUGACUGCCAGCUUCAAGCUCAAUCUUCUUCUGUGUGCAAUCCUUCUGUAAGUGUGUUCAAAGGGUAUGGAUUGCCUAAGGAGGCGAAAGAGUACCUUUCCUCACAUGGGCUCAACAACGCUGCCUAUUCUAUCCAAGCACCCGAUGUUGAAAAUGAUCUUUUUGGCAAACUUCUUCCUUUCCCUUUUCAGGAACCAGCUUCUUCUUUUAGAGCGAAAGAAUUAGACAACAAUUUUCCUCCUAAGCGGUUGCCUCAACCGCUUGAAUCAAUUAAAUUGCAUGGGUCAACAUCAAUUUCAACAAAUCCUCAGAAAAAGUUUCUGAAAUCAGAUAAUGGAGUGGAAGCUAAAAGGAUUUCUUCCAGUUGUUUAUAUCGAUAUUUUGCUUCCCUGUAUGCAUAUUUAAUUCCCUCCUGCAUUCUUGAGUUUGAUGGUGCUUCAAAAGGAAAUCCUGGACCAGCUGGUGCGGGAGCUGUACUACGAGCUGAAGAUGGAAGCAUGGUCUGCCGACUUCGUGAAGGGUUAGGAAUUGCAACAAAUAAUGUUGCUGAAUAUCGAGCUGUACUUUUAGGACUGAAACAUGCGCUUAAGAAAGGGUUUAAAUACAUUUGUGUGCAAGGAGACUCGAAUCUUGUCUGUAUGCAGAUUCAGGGUUUAUGGAAAUUAAAAAACCAGAAUCUGGCUGACUUGUGUAAAGAGGCCAAGGAGCUGAAGGAUAUGUUCACAUCAUUCCAGAUCAAACAUGUUCCUAGGGAGACAGUUUAUCAAAUUGAUCCUGAGCUUUGGAGCCAUUGACCCUAGUGUCAUUUUCUUGUCUUUCUUUGCACUUCAAAGGUCUAUUGCUCCAUAUGAUUUUUGUCAGUUCAUGUCUCUAGUUUGGUGUCUUUUCUAUGCAUAUGGGGGCUACAUUAGUCAUAAUACUGUGUUCUCAACCUCUGCAAGGCUUACCAAAUAUAUAUAGUGCAAUUCCAUCGUCAAUGCACUCAUCGAUUUGAACUGUUAUAUGCAUGGUACUUGUGCUGCGUUGUUGAUUUAGUAUUUUUUUCUAAGAUGGUCAUAUUGGUAGUGGCAAUUUAUUUGCAUUUGUUUGAUAGCCUGAUUACAAAUGGCAUAUUCUUUGUUUCAUCUUCAAGGAAUUCAACUUUGAAGCUGAUGUUCAAGCAAACCUGGCUACUAAUCUUAGGGAUGGUCAGACUGAAGAAGAUUGUAUCAGAAAGUAAUUCAGGCCCUAGGGGUUGUGACCAUAUAUCUGUUUUUUAACUUGUAAACAGGAAAACUAGUUGCUCUGGAAUUUUGGGACAUGGUAUACUGUAUGGGGCAGAAACUGAAAUGAUGGGUAAUUGUAGUAGAACAUAUAAUUAAAUUAUCCAUUUCUUUUGCA